rnacentral:rRNA from 1 species
GACGAACGCUGGCGGCGUGCCUAAUACAUGCAAGUUGAGCGAUGAAGCUUGGUGCUUGCACCAAUUUGAAGAGCAGCGAACGGGUGAGUAACGCGUGGGGAAUCUGCCUUUGAGCGGGGGACAACAUUUGGAAACGAAUGCUAAUACCGCAUAACAACUUUAAACAUAAGUUUUAAGUUUGAAAGAUGCAAUUGCAUCACUCAAAGAUGAUCCCGCGUUGUAUUAGCUAGUUGGUGAGGUAAAGGCUCACCAAGGCGAUGAUACAUAGCCGACCUGAGAGGGUGAUCGGCCACAUUGGGACUGAGACACGGCCCAAACUCCUACGGGAGGCAGCAGUAGGGAAUCUUCGGCAAUGGACGAAAGUCUGGCCGAGCAACGCCGCGUGAGUGAAGAAGGUUUUCGGAUCGUAAAACUCUGUUGGUAGAGAAGAACGUUGGUGAGAGUGGAAAGCUCAUCAAGUGACGGUAACUACCCAGAAAGGGACGGCUAACUACGUG